UGGCGAACGGGUGAGUAACGCGUGAGGAACCUGCCUCAAAGAGGGGGACAACAGUUGGAAGCGACUGCUAAUACCGCAUAAGCCCACGACCCGGCAUCGGGAAGAGGGAAAAGGAGCAAUCCGCUUUGAGAUGGCCUCGCGUCCGAUUAGCUAGUUGGUGAGGUAACGGCCCACCAAGGCGACGAUCGGUAGCCGGACUGAGAGGUUGAACGGCCACAUUGGGACUGAGACACGGCCCAG
rnacentral:rRNA from 1 species